GGUAAAGUAAUCUAAUUUUUAGGAUAUAGGGUUCAUGGCCCUGCAGUGUUUCAUACCUUUACUU
rnacentral:tRNA from 1 species